GGAAGGAAAAGAAACUGUAGAGAAAAGCUCACAAGGCAGCUCUGAAAGAUGUGUCAAAAAUAAUGAAGGAAACACUAUAAAUGAGGAACACGGAGACAGAUGGAAUAAUUCUGAUGAUACCACGGUCACACUGCUUAAUUAUCAGCUGGUCCAGAUGGACAACACUGAGAAAGCCGACACUCAACUUCUAGAAAAUGUCAAGAGUCAUAAGAAUGCAGAUCAAGCUAACCUGGAAGUCAAUGACAACCCUGCUGUACAUGGUCAUCUUAACAAACAAGAUGUGAUGAAUGAUGGACAGAAGGAACUGAUGGACUUCAGACCAGAGACGGAUAAACAGACUGACAACAAAUGGGUGUCCCUGACAGCAGACCAUAAAAGCGACACAGAUUAUCAGGGUAGUGAAGGAUCAGGCGAUUCUAGAAAGGAUACUGGAGAAUAUGGGGGAGGUAGACAAAAUAUUGGAAAUGAUGACAGCUCUAAAUCUAUAAGUGUCGAAGCUGAUAACGUAACGACAGGACAAAGAAACCUGUUAACUAGAUAUGACCUCUUUCAUGGAUCUCAGGACACCCAAACAGGCAGUGACAGAAUACAAAUCAUACCCAAAGAUAAUCAGAUGAGUGAACAGAGGCGCAUUAGCAGGUUUCUUAAUGAACCAAUAG